rnacentral:rRNA from 1 species
UACGGAGGGGAGCUAGCGUUAAUCGGAAUUACUGGGCGUAAAGCGUGCGCAGGCGGUGAUGUAAGACCGAUGUGAAAUCCCCGGCUUAACCUGGGAACUGCAUUGGUGACUGCAUUGCUGGAGUAUGGCAGAGGGGGGUGGAAUUCCACGUGUAGCAGUGAAAUGCGUAGAGAUGUGGAGGAACACCGAUGGCGAAGGCAGCCCCCUGGGCCAAUACUGACGCUCGAUGCACGAAAGCGUGGGGAGC